GGUGAGAUGGCCGAGCGGUCUAAGGCGCCAGACUAAGGUGGUGUGUGCCUCAUAUCUGGUCUCUUCGGGGGCGGGAGUUCGAAUCUCCCUCUCAUCA